CAAAGUCUCAAGUUCUUGACUAAAUUAUUUCAUUUUCAGAUAUUUAUAAGACAAGAGAAUGUUCAAUCAAUUUUCGCUUAUUUUUUUGAGUCUUAUUAUUUUAGUCAGCUGCCAGAAAGAAUGGACUUCAAGCUACACUUGCUUCUCUAAUGAUGAAUGUAGAAAACAAUCCAUCAUUUCUUUGGGCAAAAGAAAUAUCGACGACCAGGAGCAGGAUGAACUAAGCUGCUUGUGCCACGUGACACAGACCCACGAUACUUAUCCUUGUUUUUCCGGUGAUGAAUGCAAAAACAGCUCGCUCAAUUCCAUAAUUAACAAUGUCACUCGUUGCUGUAACAUAGACGACAGCAUUAUCACCGGAAGUAGCACUAUCCUCAACAGCACCAGCUUCAAAAUCGGUCUGUUUUUGAGCAAAAGGAAUGAUUUUUUGAUGCAAAAUCUACUCAACUAACUGAUAGAGGUAUUUGAUAAGUGAAUGAAAAUCUUACAGACAAGAGUAAAUCAAUAGACAGAUGUUGAGAACUGCUUCGCACGUUACAUUUUGUUGAACAUCAAUUCUCUUUUUUCGUAAUGAAAGGAUUGGCAUUUA